rnacentral:rRNA from 1 species
AACGAACGCUGACGGCAGGCUUAACACAUGCAAGUCGAACGCCCCGCAAGGGGAGUGGCAGACGGGUGAGUAACGCGUGGGAAUCUACCCAUCCCUACGGAAUAACGCAUGGAAACGUGUGCUAAUACCGUAUACGCCCUACGGGGGAAAGAUUUAUCGGGGAUGGAUGAGCCCGCGUUGGAUUAGCUAGUUGGUGGGGUAAAGGCCUACCAAGGCGACGAUCCAUAGCUGGUCUGAGAGGAUGAUCAGCCACAUUGGGACUGAGACACGGCCCAAACUCCUACGGGAGGCAGCAGUGGGGAAUAUUGGACAAUGGGCGCAAGCCUGAUCCAGCCAUGCCGCGUGAGUGAUGAAGGCCUUAGGGUUGUAAAGCUCUUUCACCGGAGAAGAUAAUGACGGUAGCCGGAGAAGAAGCCCCGGCUAACUUCGUG